GAUGAACGCUGGCGGCGUGCCUAAUACAUGCAAGUCGAGCGAACGGACGAGAAGCUUGCUUCUCUGAUGUUAGCGGCGGACGGGUGAGUAACACGUGGAUAACCUACCUAUAAGACUGGGAUAACUUCGGGAAGCCGGAGCUAAUACCGGAUGAUAUUUUGAACCGCAUGGUUCAAAAGUGAAAGACGGUCUUGCUGUCACUUAUAGAUGGAUCCGCGCUGCAUUAGCUAGUUGGUAAGGUAACGGCUUACCAAGGCAACGAUGCAUAGCCGACCUGAGAGGGUGAUCGGCCACACUGGAACUGAGACACGGUCCAGACUCCUACGGGAGGCAGCAGUAGGGAAUCUUCCGCAAUGGGCGAAAGCCUGACGGAGCAACGCCGCGUGAGUGAUGAAGGUCUUCGGAUCGUAAAACUCUGUUAUUAGGGAAGAACAUAUGUGUAAGUAACUGUGCACAUCCUGACGGUACCUAAUCAGAAAGCCACGGCUAACUACGUG
rnacentral:rRNA from 1 species